AGAGUUUGAUCCUGGCUCAGGAUGAACGCUAGCUACAGGCUUAACACAUGCAAGUCGAGGGGCAGCGGGAUUGAAGCUUGCUUCAAUUGCCGGCGACCGGCGCACGGGUGAGUAACGCGUAUCCAACCUUCCGUACACUCAGGGAUAGCCUUUCGAAAGAAAGAUUAAUACCUGAUGGUAUGAUGAGAUUGCAUGAUAGCAUCAUUAAAGAUUUAUCGGUGUACGAUGGGGAUGCGUUCCAUUAGGUAGUAGGCGGGGUAACGGCCCACCUAGCCAACGAUGGAUAGGGGUUCUGAGAGGAAGGUCCCCCACAUUGGAACUGAGACACGGUCCAAACUCCUACGGGAGGCAGCAGUGAGGAAUAUUGGUCAAUGGACGAGAGUCUGAACCAGCCAAGUAGCGUGAAGGAUGAAGGUCCUACGGAUUGUAAACUUCUUUUAUAAGGGAAUAAACCCUCCCACGUGUGGGAGCUUGUAUGUACCUUAUGAAUAAGCAUCGGCUAACUCCGUGCCAGCAGCCGCGGUAAUACGGAGGAUGCGAGCGUUAUCCGGAUUUAUUGGGUUUAAAGGGAGCGCAGACGGGUCGUUAAGUCAGCUGUGAAAGUUUGGGGCUCAACCUUAAAAUUGCAGUUGAUACUGGCGUCCUUGAGUGCGGUUGAGGUGUGCGGAAUUCGUGGUGUAGCGGUGAAAUGCUUAGAUAUCACGAAGAACUCCGAUUGCGAAGGCAGCACACUAAUCCGUAACUGACGUUCAUGCUCGAAAGUGUGGGUAUCAAACAGGAUUAGAUACCCUGGUAGUCCACACGGUAAACGAUGGAUACUCGCUGUUGGCGAUAUACUGUCAGCGGCUUAGCGAAAGCGUUAAGUAUCCCACCUGGGGAGUACGCCGGCAACGGUGAAACUCAAAGGACAUUGACGGAAGGGCGA
rnacentral:rRNA from 1 species